UUUUUCAACAUAGAAAAAAGGGAACUUGGAAGUUCAGUCAACAACUUCAUCGUCUCUCACUCAUAGACCAACUGGACCACUCUGUUCGUCUCACCAAGGCCUGGUCAUGAUGUCUAAUACAACUUGUCUCCGUGCAAACUCUACCACAGACUGCCUAGAACCAGCUUCUUUUGGUUUUUCUAUGGGAUAUGCUGUGGGUCUUCCUCUGUUCUUCAUAGUUCUGGGAGUAGUGAUUGCGCUGAUCUAUACCAAGUGCAGUAAAUGUAGGAAUAUGUGGCAGUUAGAUCAACUCAAGAGCACAGAGGUCAACACACGUCAGCUUGAAGGUUCCCAAUACACGGCCAUGGUCAGACCACCACCCGCUGAUCAUAGCCCUAUCUACGAGAACUUCACUGACUCCAACAAGACAAUCAGCAACAUGAAAAGGUCACCCGCUGAACCCGAGGAUGUAUAUCUGCAGUGUGAUUUACCCGAUGAUGCAAUUUACAGCAACGACAUGUCCUGUAGCCUGGCCAUACUGCCUCCUGAGGAAGAUAUUUAUAUAAUGCCAGAUGUUCUAUAGUUACAGCCAUAAAGAUGACCCUAUUCAAAUCCAAACAGUCAUAUUUUUGUAGGACAGGAAGAGGAAUCAAAGGAGCCAAUAUGUUCUGGUGGCUUUAUGUUUUAUCCACCUCUGAAGGAAACUUGGCCAUAUUGACAAAAACAUUUGUCUUAAUUAGAAUCUUUUUCUUUGUUUUACAGACUAAAAAGUAUGUUAUUAUGUUAUUGUACAUAUUUUAGUAAGUGCCUGCUAGGUUCGGCACAGUGCAACAACUUUUUGGGGCAAAUUUAAAUAUAAGUAGCAGUUUAGCCCAAAAUGUAAAACAUUUUUACAGUGAACUUUUUCACUCUGUAGUUAGGGAGAAGUCGAAAUGUACCCAAUUGUUACCCAGAGGGGCGUGUUGCCUAAAAGAUUGGCUGUGCUGUUUACACUGCCACUUCAGGAGGCGAGUCAAAGGAUUCUUCCCCCCCAGUAUGGGGCCCAUUAUGGGAUAUUGUGUGUAGGCCAAUGACAAAAAGUCUUCUCCUUUUUAAAUUCAGGCUGUAACACAACACAAUGUGGAAAAGUCAAGGGGUGUGAAGACUUUCUGAAGGCACUGUAUAGCAGUCUUGUUGACAGGUCUCGAGAAUGGUCUGGAGCCCACAUAUUCAGUGUCUCGGUGUUUGAUACAUUUGGACUCGGUCUUGACUCGGUCUCGGACAGUGAGGACUCAUAAAUAGUUGCCUAGACCAAGGUAGUAAAAAAAACUCCUAAUUACCAGCUUCCAUUCAGUCCAGUGUUGCAAUUAUUUAUUUAUUUUUGCCAAAAUUAGUAAACUUUAAUAACGAUGUUGCGGGUGAAAAUGUAUUGGUCGCGGGUGCCAGAUUUUUGGCGGUACUUCUAAAUUGCACCGCGACCGCCAUGGCAUUUCUCUUAAAAAUAUAUACAUAUAUUUCACUGUGACCUGCUGCCUCUGACUAUCAGGCAGUGAGCAGGCUGUAACUGAGUGAGUGAGUCAGUGAGUGAGCAUGUGAAUGGGGGAGAGGGAGAGGGCCGAAAGGGUGCGUGUGUGCUUUGAGAGAGUGCUGCAGCAGAGUAAGCUGAGUCACGGAGGCAGAGCAGCACCAGUGCACUUUGUGACCACUGUUUACCAGUUGUAGGUAGGCUAUUUAGGUUGGUCAUUAUGGAGGCACACCUUUUGCAUAAAACAUAUAUUAACACGCUAGAACCGCAACAAAGCAUUGGAAAAUGACUUUAGGGGCACUAGAGCUGUUUAGAUAAGUUUGCUCAGAGGUGGUUUAAAGUAAACUGCAUUCUUAAAUGUCAGUUUCAUUGUGGACUUUUCCCUGAAAUGAUAUGUUGGCAUGUUGGCCUAUCAUGGGCUAUAGACUACCUGCAUCUAUCUCAGUAAACCACGGCAAAGUUUAAUUGCAGUUAUAAACCCAGAUUUUAGUCAGUAGCCUAUGCCUAUUGAAAUAACAAGUCAAUCUCGCAAAUAGACCAUUUAUAAUAGUUUGUAGUCUUAACAUCUGGCACAAAAUGACGGCACAAUUGACAGAAAAUAGCCUAACAUUGUUUUUUUUAAGUUCAUCCAAGUGUUUCUUGCGCAGAGAUUAUUUUGAUGGGAAAAACGAAUUGAGCUUUUUAGUCUGUCAUAAAAAAUAAAGUCAAUAUUCCUUCUUAAUUCAAUCGAUAACAUUAUGGAAAAAGUGUUUAUUGGAUAAAUGUGGCAAGUCCUCUUUUGCUGCAAAAAAUUAUUUGGGCUAGUUUUCAGGCCUUGUGGGCGGGUUUUCCGAGGUCAUUGGGCUAGAAAUUUUAGCCAGACCUGGCAACCCUGAUUCAGUCAGGGCAUAAAACCACUUCGCUUGGCCAAAUAUAUACACUCCUUUCUCAGAACAUUAAUAUCUUAACAUCCUUAUCUAUUAUAGACAUGUUUGCACACUGGUGAACCUAUAGGCCUUCAGUGUGUGACAGGUUUGUGAUUCUGAAAGGACAGCAACCAUAAUACCAGUGAACUCAUGUAGGAGACUGCACUUUUUGUAAAAACACAAAGGUCCAGUGGUGUAGUGGAGGGUAUAUGCAGGUAUAAACCCAACAAUCUCACACUCAAUUCAUGCAAAUAUGUACAAAUAGAAUUUCAGCAGAUUUUGUGUGUUAUUGUGUGGCUUAAUUUGUGUGAAAAGACACACAUUUUUGUGUGACUUCAUUCAUAGGAAAAUACAUUUUUUGGGGGAUGAUGGUGUUGGUGCAUGAUGGUGUUGGUGCAUGAUGGUGUUGGUGCAUGAUGGUGUUGUUCUACACUGCCUUUUUUUGUGUCCCACAUUUAUUAAUAUAAAAAACAAAUGUGUUAACAACCCAAUCUUUUUAAUCAACCGGGUUGUCACCUAAAUAAUUACAAUAUAAUACUAGCCUUGUUUUUUACAUUUGUUAAAUUAAUGCCAAUGCUGUUUUCUAUGCUUGUUUUCACAUAAUACUUUGGAAUACUUGUGCUAUGUCGGAUUUUAUGAGGGUCGCCAAAUUGGAGUAAAAAGCUUUAUUUGUC